rnacentral:rRNA from 1 species
GACGUAGGUGGCGAACGUUAUCCGGAAUUAUUGGGCGUAAAGGGUGCGUAGACGGCAUGACAAGUUAUUGGCGGGAAAUCGAGGCUCAACCUCGUGGAAACUAGUAAUACUGUUUUGCUUGAGUACAGGAGAGGUUAACGGAACUCCAUGUGGAGCGGUAAAAUGUGUAGAUAUCGCUUGGAACGCCGAAGGUGAAAACAGACUGCUGGGGUUGCGCCGACGCUGAGACACGAAAGCCAGGGGAGCAAACGGG